GAGUUUGAUCAUGGCUCAGAUUGAACGCUGGCGGCAUGCCUUACACAUGCAAGUCGAACGGCAGCACGGGAGCUUGCUCCUGGUGGCGAGUGGCGAACGGGUGAGUAAUGCAUCGGAACGUAUCCUGGAGUGGGGGAUAACGUAGCGAAAGUUACGCUAAUACCGCAUAUUCUGUGAGCAGGAAAGCGGGGGACCUUCGGGCCUCGCGCUCUUGGAGCGGCCGAUGUCGGAUUAGCUAGUUGGUGAGGUAAAGGCUCACCAAGGCGACGAUCCGUAGCAGGUCUGAGAGGAUGAUCUGCCACACUGGAACUGAGACACGGUCCAGACUCCUACGGAGGCAGCAGUGGGGAAUUUUGGACAAUGGGGGCAACCCUGAUCCAGCCAUGCCGCGUGAGUGAAGAAGGCCUCGGUUG
rnacentral:rRNA from 1 species